CACACCGCCCGUCACGCCAUGGGAGUUGGUUUGACCUGAAGACGGUGCGCUAACCCGCAAGGGAGGCAGCCGGCCACGGUCAGGUCAGCGACUGGGGUG
rnacentral:rRNA from 1 species